AUGAAGCUGGAUUCGCUAGUAAUCGCGCAUCAGCCACGGCGCGGUGAAUACGUUCCCGGGCCCUUGUACACACCGCCCGUCAAGCCAUGGGAGCUGGGGGUGCCUGAAGUUCGUGACCGCAAGGAUCGACCUAGGGCAAAACCGGUGACUGGGGCUAAGUCGUAACAAGGUAAC
rnacentral:rRNA from 1 species